rnacentral:lncRNA from 1 species
UAUUAUAGAAUAAAAAGAUUCAACCUUGGGAUUUAGGAUGUAAUAAAAAGAAAGUAAGAGAGAGAGAGAGAAGACUAUUCGUACCAGGAACGUGUUCAUUCCCUUCGUCCUUGACGAUAGAGAAGACACAUUUUUUAAAAUCAUUGCAUGGUUUCGAGUUCGAAUUGGUUUAAGCAAGAUCUAGAGAAGUCCAAAGUUUUCGGAAAAGCCAAACAAUAGUCGAUAACGCUACGAAAUCCUAUCUUUGUGUCAAUAAAGUUAAUCGACCUUGAUUAGAAACUAUCGUAUCGAACGUGAUGAAGAAACGAGAAAAAUAGAGAAAAGGAGAAAACGAGAAGAUUCUCACGAAGACAAAUUUCUAAAAGAAAUAAAAUGAAAUUUGAAAUAAACUACAAAAAUUCGCGUAAAAAAAGAAAACGGUAUCUUACGUAAGAAUUUUCUCUUCUAACAUAAGAUCGAACGAUUACCAGAAACAGAAUGUUUCGAUACCGACGAUGAUAUUUUUCACUUGGAGGUCUUACGAUCGUUGGAAAGAAGGUAAAAAGGAGGUUAUUCGAACGUUGGAAAAUACAGCAAGUAGUUUUCCGUGACGUUUCUGUUCGCCAAGGCCAUCUUGGAACGUUGGUGAACCGCUCGGAAGGUCAGACCAGAUUACUUCGUAGUUUGAAGUACGAACGCGACACUACGUUGCACGAGGAUGCACGAAGAGUACCGAUCGGUUGGUUGUUCUCUCUUUUUUCUUCCUAUUUUUUGUCUUUGUUCCACGUGCAUAUGAUGAUAUGUUAAAUGAUAAAUACAUUUUCUAUUCCACAUAUAGUAUAGAUACCCCCUCUAAUGAGUACAAAGGAAAUAUUUCAGACAUCAGGUGAACGCGAUGCAAAUGGAACAGAAUUAUGAAACAUUUACAAAUAGAAAAUGCAUAUUCAUUUUCUAAUGGAGAUUACUCCGCGUGUAAUGAGGGCAUGAAGGAGAGAUAAAACGAAAAUGACACAAACAAAAAAUUAGAUGGGAAAAA